CAACUUUGGGAAGGUACCGAUAUCGCUUUGUAAAAUCCUCAGUUCUGGCUGUAUCUCUAUAAAAUCACAAGGACGUCAAUGUUAAGUCGUUGGGCUAUAUCUCUGGGAUGAGAAAUAAUUCCUUACAUGCGAUCAAAAUGUUUUAUACAACGAUGUAAAACGGUAAUCUUAUGGAAUGGGUCAGCAUUUCCAUUUCCAACAAGUUUCUGAGAUGUAAUUCAAGAGGUAACUUAUCA